CCGUCUUGAAACACGGACCAAGGAGUCUAACAUGUGCGCGAGUCAUUGGGUCACACUAAACCUAAAGGCGCAAUGAAAGUGAAGGCAGCCUCGGGUUUGCCUAGGUAGGAUCCUUUUUUCUCUUUCGAGAGGAGGCGCACUACCGGCCCGUCUCGUCCGCGUUGCGGUGAGGCGGAGCGAGAGCGUACACGUUGGGACCCGAAAG
rnacentral:rRNA from 1 species